CAAACUCGACCACUUUGGCUAACCUUAGGGGCCAAUUUAUCAAAAAAAAAAAAAAAAAUCCAAAUUAGGCCGUUUUAUUCGUUGAAACACGAACUCUUGACAAUGCAAUCUAAGACAAACAAGAUAGCUUCCGAUUUAAAAAAAAAAAAUCGACAUAAUAUACAAGGUUAGUAGACGAAACGAGGAGGAUGGAUCUGUACAACAAUGAGUUGAUAUCAAUCAGCCUUGAGCAUCGUUAAUUUAGUAAAUCAAGAAUAAAUAAUUAUCGGAAAGAAGCUCCAGCAAACGGGGUGAUCUAGAUAAAAAUAAAAUAAAAAAUAAAAAACGGGGGUUCGUAGUUAUUCGCCCUUGACCAUAAGAGAGUGAUGUGGGCACACGUUUAAUUUCGACAAACGUUGAGAACUCUUUGUUCAUCCGGUUGUUUCCAUGG
rnacentral:lncRNA from 1 species